rnacentral:rRNA from 1 species
UACGUAGGGUGCGAGCGUUAAUCGGAAUUACUGGGCGUAAAGUGUGCGCAGGCGGCCGCGCAAGUCGAGUGUGAAAGCCCCGGGCUUAACUUGGGAAUUGCGCUCGAAACUACGUGGCUGGAGUAUGGCAGAGGAAGGUGGAAUUCCACGUGUAGCGGUGAAAUGCGUAGAGAUGUGGAGGAACACCGAUGGCGAAGGCAGCCUUCUGGGCCAAUACUGACGCUCAUGCACGAAAGCGUGGGGAGCAAACAGGG